GACGAACGCUGGCGGCGUGCCUAACACAUGCAAGUCGAACGAAGCACUUGAGCUUGCUUGAGUGACUUAGUGGCGGACGGGUGAGUAAUACAUGAGCAACCUGCCUCAAAGAGGGGGACAACAGUUGGAAACGACUGCUAAUACCGCAUGAUGUAUCGGGGAGGCAUCUUCCUGAUACCAAAGAUUUAUCGCUUUGAGAUGGGCUCAUGUCUGAUUAGCUAGUUGGUGAGGUAACGGCUCACCAAGGCUGCGAUCAGUAGCCGGACUGAGAGGUUGAACGGCCACAUUGGGACUGAGACACGGCCCAAACUCCUACGGGAGGCAGCAGUGGGGAAUAUUGCACAAUGGGGGAAACCCUGAUGCAGCGACGCCGCGUGAGUGAAGAAGUAUUUCGGUAUGUAAAGCUCUAUCAGCAAGGAAGAAAAAUGACGGUACUUGACUAAGAAGCCCCGGACUAACUACGUGCCAGCAGCCG
rnacentral:rRNA from 1 species